rnacentral:tRNA from 1 species
GGGGGUAUAGCUCAGUGGUAGAGUGCACGCUUAGCAUGCAUGAGGUCCUGAGUUCAAUCCCCAGUACCUCCA